UCUAUAAAACUGGAAAAACUUGGUCCCCAAGACCUUCAAAAGGAAUAUGAUCAGACUAAGAGAAGAGAGUCCUUGCGAAUGGUAGGGAAUUUGAGUCACCCUCCGUGACCUUUGAAUUCAUCCUCCCCCAGUUGGUGAAAGUAAGGAGGGAGGAACGGCAACAACUACAGCUGGGGGCCCCACUGGCAAUGGCUCUGGGCCCCUCGGCACCCUGUAGCCCACCAAGAAAGCAUGGAAGUAUCACCCGUGUUCAUCAAUCUUGCUCACCUCCCUGCCACCCCAGAAGCUACAAGCAACAUGAGCUGCCCUGGGGACAGAGGGAAGGGGAAGGGGGAUGGAUCAAGGCACUAAGAGCAUGGUCAGUAUGGAGUGUGUCGCCCGCCCUUUUAAAGUGCUACCUAUGGUGUGGAGAGGAAAUUGCUUCAAGGGGCGCUUCAUAAAUGCUGCUUGACUUAACUUCACAGUUGAACUAACUACCUGUGCUGCUAGGAUCCAAGAAGAGAGAACCAGUGACAACAGGAGUGUGAUAUCUUGACUUGUGAGUGAAUUAGAUUCAAGUGAGACAGAACUGUGCAAAGUCUUCAGCUCCACUCUCUGCUCCAGAGUUGUCAGAGUCCAGGGCAAGAGACAGGUCAGCACCGCUGGAGGUGGCCCCAGCUGCAGUGGGAAACCCUCAGAAUUUCCAGCCGGAAUCGAAGGUGCCCAGUAAGUGAGGGUAGGCUUUGACAGUUAAAACAAGUGAUAUCUGAAAGCAAUAACAUCAGUCAUUGACAUCUUUGUUCUAAUUAAGCAGUUCCUGAGCCCAAAAUCUUGCCAGUUAUGCAAAAUUUGCUGAAUGAGAAGGGACAAAUGUAUAAUACAAUGUAGGGAUAAUGUAAUCUAAACUGGGAUUUUGUCU